CAGCCGCCGCGGGAAUACGUAGGUGGCAAGCGUUGUCCGGAAUUAUUGGGCGUAAAGGGCUCGCAGGCGGUUUCUUAAGUCUGAUGUGAAAGCCCCCGGCUCAACCGGGGAGGGUCAUUGGAAACUGGGGAACUUGAGUGCAGAAGAGGAGAGCGGAAUUCCACGUGUAGCGGUGAAAUGCGUAGAGAUGUGGAGGAACACCAGUGGCGAAGGCGACUCUCUGGUCUGUAACUGACGCUGAGGAGCGAAAGCGUGGGGAGCGAACAGGAUUAGAUACCCCAGUAGUCCCUGUCUCUUAUAC
rnacentral:rRNA from 1 species